GUGCUGCAUGGCUGUCGUCAGCUCGUGUUGUGAAAUGUUGGGUUAAGUCCCGCAACGAGCGCAACCCUUAUCCUUUGUUGCCAGCGGUCCGGCCGGGAACUCAAAGGAGACUGCCAGUGAUAAACUGGAGGAAGGUGGGGAUGACGUCAAGUCAUCAUGGCCCUUACGACCAGGGCUACACACGUGCUACAAUGGCGCAUACAAAGAGAAGCGACCUCGCGAGAGCAAGCGGACCUCAUAAAGUGCGUCGUAGUCCGGAUUGGAGUCUGCAACUCGACUCCAUGAAGUCGGAAUCGCUAGUAAUCGUGGAUCAGAAUGCCACGGUGAAUACGUUCCCGGGCCUUGUACACACCGCCCGUCACACCAUGGGAGUGGGUUGCAAAAGAAGUAGGUAGCUUAACCUUCGGGAGGGCGCUUACCACUUUGUGAUUCAUGACUGGGGUGAAGUCGUAACAAGGUAACCGUAGGGGAACCUGCGGUUGGAUCACCUCCUUACCUUAAAGAAGC
rnacentral:rRNA from 1 species